AAAAGACUUAGUCCUAACCUUACUAUUGGUUUUUGCUAGACAUAUACAUGCAAGUAUCCGCACCCCAGUGAAAAUGCCCCUAAGCCUUCCAUUUUACCAAAGCAAAAGGAGCGGGCAUCAGGCACACUUCCAAGUAGCCCAAGACGCCUUGCUAAGCCACACCCCCACGGGUAUUCAGCAGUAAUUAACCUUAAGCAAUAAGUGUAAACUUGACUUAGCCAUAGCAACCCCCUUAGGGUUGGUAAAUCUUGUGCCAGCCACCGCGGUCACACAAGAAACCCAAAUCAAUAGCCAUCCGGCGUAAAGAGUGGUCACAUGCUAUCUACACCAACUAAGACCGAAAUGUCACUAAGCUGUCAUAAGCCCAAGAUUCACCUAAGCCCAACCCGAAACAUCUUAGUCUCAUGAUCAAUUUCAACCCACGAAAGCCAGGUCACAAACUGGGAUUAGAUACCCCACUAUGCCUGGCCCUAAAUCUAGAUACCCCCCCCCAUACCCACGUAUCCGCCCGAGGACUACGAGCACAAACGCUUAAAACUCUAAGGACUUGGCGGUGCCCCAAACCCACCUAGAGGAGCCUGUUCUAUAACCGAUAAUCCACGCUUCACCCAACCACCCCUUGCCAACACAGCCUACAUACCGCCGUCGCCAGCCCACCUCAAAUGAGAGAACAACAGUGAGCCCAAUAGCCACCCCACUAGCAAGACAGGUCAAGGUAUAGCCCAUGGGGUGGAAGAAAUGGGCUACAUUUCCUAACCUAGGACAGACGAAAGAGGGCGUGAAACCCGCCCUCGGAAGGAGGAUUUAGCAGUAAAACGGGAUCAAACUCUUAAGCCCAUUUUAAGAUGGCCCUGAGGCACGUACAUACCGCCCGUCACCCUCCUCAAAAGCCACCGACACAAAUAAAUAAUCCCCCUCCCCGGCCAAAGACGAGGUAAGUCGUAACAAGGUAAGUGUACCGGAAGGUGCACUUAGACCAC
rnacentral:ncRNA from 1 species